GACGAACGCUGGCGGCGUGCUUAACACAUGCAAGUCGAACGGAAAGGCCCUGCUUUUGUGGGGUGCUCGAGUGGCGAACGGGUGAGUAACACGUGAGUAACCUGCCCUUGACUUUGGGAUAACUUCAGGAAACUGGGACUAAUACCGGAUAGGAGCUCCUGCUGCAUGGUGGGGGUUGGAAAGUUUCGGCGGUUGGGGAUGGACUCGCGGCUUAUCAGCUUGUUGGUGGGGUAGUGGCUUACCAAGGCUUUGACGGGUAGCCGGCCUGAGAGGGUGACCGGCCACAUUGGGACUGAGAUACGGCCCAGACUCCUACGGGAGGCAGCAGUGGGGAAUAUUGCACAAUGGGCGGAAGCCUGAUGCAGCAACGCCGCGUGCGGGAUGACGGCCUUCGGGUUGUAAACCGCUUUCGCCUGUGACGAAGCGUGAGUGACGGUAAUGGGUAAAGAAGCACCGGCUAACUACGUGCCAGCAGCCGCGGUGAUACGUAGGGUGCGAGCGUUGUCCGGAUUUAUUGGGCGUAAAGGGCUCGUAGGUGGUUGAUCGCGUCGGAAGUGUAAUCUUGGGGCUUAACCCUGAGCGUGCUUUCGAUACGGGUUGACUUGAGGAAGGUAGGGGAGAAUGGAAUUCCUGGUGGAGCGGUGGAAUGCGCAGAUAUCAGGAGGAACACCAGUGGCGAAGGCGGUUCUCUGGGCCUUUCCUGACGCUGAGGAGCGAAAGCGUGGGGAGCGAACAGGCUUAGAUACCCUGGUAGUCCACGCUGUAAACGGUGGGUACUAGGUGUGGGGUCCAUUCCACGGGUUCCGUGCCGUAGCUAACGCUUUAAGUACCCCGCCUGGGGAGUACGGCCGCAAGGCUAAAACUCAAAGGAAUUGACGGGGCCCCGCACAAGCGGCGGAGCAUGCGGAUUAAUUCGAUGCAACGCGUAGAACCUUACCUGGGUUUGACAUGGAUCGGGAGCGCUCAGAGAUGGGUGUGCCUCUUUUGGGGUCGGUUCACAGGUGGUGCAUGGCUGUCGUCAGCUCGUGUCGUGAGGUGUUGGGUUAAGUCCCGCAACGAGCGCAACCCUUGUUCACUGUUGCCAGCACGUUAUGGUGGGGACUCAGUGGAGACCGCCGGGGUCAACUCGGAGGAAGGUGGGGAUGACGUCAAGUCAUCAUGCCCCUUAUGUCCAGGGCUUCACGCAUGCUACAAUGGCUGGUACAGAGAGUGGCGAGCCUGUGAGGGUGAGCGAAUCUCGGAAAGCCGGUCUCAGUUCGGAUUGGGGUCUGCAACUCGACCUCAUGAAGUCGGAGUCGCUAGUAAUCGCAGAUCAGCAACGCUGCGGUGAAUACGUUCCCGGG
rnacentral:rRNA from 1 species